rnacentral:rRNA from 1 species
GGGAGCCUAAUAUUGCAAGUCGAGCGAGAGACCUUCANGGUCUCUAAUGGCGAGCGGGUGAUGAACACAUAUAGGAACCUGCCCGCGCACCGGGAAUACGCUCUGGAGACGGAUAACCAAUCCCGAGGUACAGGACCGAGGCAUCUUCGUUCUGUGAGAAAUCCUUUCGGGGAUGGGGGGCGAAUGGACCUGCAGGGCACUACUUGGUUGCUGGGAUGAAGGCCCACCAGGACGAUGAUGCUGAGCCGGCCUGAGAUGGCGGACGGCCGCAUUGGAACUGAGACACAGACCAGACUCCUGCGGUAGGCAACAGAAAGGAAUUUUCGUCUCUGAGCGCAAGCCUGAACAAGCAAUCCCCCGUGAUUGAAGAAGGCCUUCUGGACGUACAGCUCUGGUGCGAGGAAAGAAAUGCACUCUCAGGAAUCGGGUGCUGACUGAUGGUGACCCACCUAAAAGUCGCGGCUAACUACAUGCCAACUACCUCGAUAAUACCUACGUGGUAAGCGUUAUCCGGAAUGAUUGUACGUAAAGGGUGCGCAUGCGCUCCAGCUAGUCUGGAUAGAAACACAGGAGCUCAACUCAUGCAUGGGAUUGGAAACUGUACGACUGGACAGCAGGAUAGGGCCGUGGAACGCCGUGUGUAACGGUAAAAUACGAAAAUGUAUGUAAGAGCGCCACUGGGGAAUGCGGAUCUCUGGGCUGCAACUGACGCGGAGGCUCGAAAGCAUGGGUACCGAACAUGAUUAGAUA